GUGGGGAAUAUUGGGCAAUGGAGGGAACUCUGACCCAGCAACGCCGCGUGAAUGAUGAAGGUCUUCGGAUUGUAAAGUUCUGUGACGGGGGACGAAGAAAGUGACGGUACCCCGAAAGCAAGCUACGGCUAACUACGUGCCAGCAGCCGCGGUAAUACGUAGGUAGCAAGCGUUGUCCGGAAUGACUGGGCGUAAAGGGUGCGUAGGUGGCUGGGCAAGUUGGUAGUGAAAUUCCGGGGCUUAACUCCGGCGCUACUACCAAGACUGUUCAGCUUGAGUACAGGAGAGGUAAGUGGAAUUCCUAGUGUAGCGGUGGAAUGCGUAGAUAUUAGGAGGAACACCGGUGGCGAAAGCGACUUACUGGCCUGCAACUGACACUGAGGCACGAAAGCGUGGGGAGCAAACAGGAUUAGAAACCCGGGUAGUCC
rnacentral:rRNA from 1 species